rnacentral:lncRNA from 1 species
CAAAGUGUUACCAAGGAUGUGGAGGAACUUUAAUUGCCAUACACCGCUGGUGGGAAGGGAAAAAGUAGACCUACUUAGGAAAGCAGGUUGACAGUUUCUAAUAAAGUUAAACAGGUGGCCGGGCGCGGUGGCCCACAGGCCCACACCUAUAAUCCCAGCACUUUGAGGGGCUGAGGCAGGCAGAUCACGAAAUGUUCUUUAUCAAAAUUACGGUGUGAUUACACAAACUCUAUAUAUUUGUCAAAACUCAUCCAACCGUACAUUUAAAACUGGUUAAUAUUACUGUUUAUAUCCUGGGUGACAGAGAGAGACUCCAUCUCAAAAAAAAAAAAAAAAAAAAAAAAAAAGAAUAGGUAUUCUAACAUUUCUCUGAUGGCCAGUGAUGAUGAGCAUUUUUUCAUGUGUCUUUUGGCUGCAUAAAUGUCUUCUUUUGAGAAUCAGAUGAGUAGAUUGCAACAAUUUUUUCCCAUUCUGUAGGUUGCCUGUUCACUCUGACGGUAGUUUCUUUUGCUGUGCAGAAGCUCUUUAGUUUAAUUAGAUCCCAUUUGUCAAUUUUGGUUUUGUUGCCAUUGCUUUUGGUGUCUUAGACAUGAAGUCCUUGUCCACGCCUAUGGUAUUGAACAUGAAUGCCUAAUCUGAUCACACUUGCUCUCUUCUCUCAUUUUGUCUCAAGUAGAAAGCAUCAUGUUCAAUAACCUGGUUUUACUUAAAAUUAUACCUAUUUUAGACAGCUAGGAAAUUUU